CUGAACGCUAUGUGUUAUUUCUGGAUCGAGAAGGAUGAGACAGAGAAGAGAAGGCGGAGGGGCGGGUGGGAAAAAAAAAAAAAAGAGAGUUUGAGAGAGAGGAGUGGAAGUGGUGUAUGGGAUGGACUAAAAAAAUUUUGAGAGGGAUGAAACGGAGGGGCGUUUAGAAAGAGGGAAGGAACCCAAAAAUUUUAAUUAAAUAUGCCGCUCCUAAUUAAAGAGAGAGAGAAAGUGGGUCCCACUAAAAAAAUUAUUCUUAAUAUUUAGAGGAGAGACGAGUCCCAUUUUUUUCCUAAAACGCAGGAUUGAGGGGGAGGAAACGGAGG
rnacentral:lncRNA from 1 species